UGUUAUCGGGCUGCUCUGUUCAUCCUCUCAGAUCAGCAACGGCCAUGUCCUCGUUGUAAUCCACAUUUCCACAGCCAGUCAAACCAUCAAGGUGUCCAUUGACGACACACCGGCGCAGGUUUUGUCCAGCUUCUUAUCCAAAACGGCAAAUAAAAGAGGCUUGCUGGGCAUCCCCGACAGCACCUGCGAGACGGACUUUGUGCUGCGCGUGUGCGGCAGGGAGGAGUACCUGUUUGGAGAGAAACCGCUGCGCAACUUUAACUGGAUCCGUCAGUGUCUAAAGAAUGGCGAGGAGAUCCACUUGGCUCUGGAGACGCUGCCAGAUCCAGAACUGGAUUUGGUCCGUGAAGAGGACUGGGCCCAAGUGGACGAUUGCACCGGUGUCGCAGGUAAUCGUUUUUUCUCGUCCUCACUGUG